rnacentral:rRNA from 1 species
CAAUACGACUCUCGGCAACGGAUAUCUCGGCUCUCGCAUCGAUGAAGAACGUAGCAAAAUGCGAUACCUGGUGUGAAUUGCAGAAUCCCGCGAACCAUCGAGUUUUUGAACGCAAGUUGCGCCCGAGGCCUUCUGGUUGAGGGCACGCCUGCCUGGGCGUCACGC